rfam:Ictidomys tridecemlineatus contig039427, whole genome shotgun sequence.
GGGGUUAUAGCUCAGAUGGUAGAGUGCUUACCUUGCAUGCACAAGGUCCUGGGUUCAAUCCCCAGCGUCACCA